GACGAACCGUGCGAACGUUGUUCGGAAUCACUGGGCUUAAAGGGCGCGUAGGUGGUCUGCCAAGUCGGAGUUGAAAUCUUUCGGCUCAACCGGAAAAGUGGCUUCGAUACUGGCAGGCUGGAGGGAGGUAGGGGCGGAUGGAACUUCCGGUGGAGCGGUGAAAUGUGUUGAUAUCGGAAGGAACGCCGGUGGCGAAAGCGAUCCGCUGGACCUCUUCUGACACUGAGGCGCGAAAGCCAGGGGAGCAAACGGG
rnacentral:rRNA from 1 species